rnacentral:lncRNA from 1 species
UGCAUCUGGUUAUGAUUUGAAAGCACAUAGAGCAUCAUUACUGGUAAUUAUUUCUUCAGAUUGCUAAAGGAAGGAUGCAUACUCAAAACGCCUGCUAAAAAGAAAGAACCGAAGUGCGGCAUUACAAUCCUACACAAAUCCAAGCUACAUAGAUCACCCAACCUUAAAACACAGCAAGUAGACACAAACAUCAUUUAUUCUAAACACGUAGGUACGCUACAAUUAUAUGCAUCCUUCUUGCAUUGCUAAUUACUCAUUAACAGUGUUUGGUGCAGAAGCAUCUGCGGCGAAGACCGCGGCAGUCGCCUCCACUGAAGCCCUCAGUUUUGCAAACAGAUGCACAGUUGGUCUCACUCAAGCAAGUUCCCUUGAACUUGUGGCUCAGACUCUCACAAGUUCUUGCUUCUGCGACCAUUGUAUUUGGCCCCAUUCCUACAUACAGUUUAAACACACACAUUAGUAUUCAUACAUAAAGUUCAUUUACAUCUAGAGAUCAAAACAGUCAGUAAAUAUCAGAAGAAUGUAGAUAUUGAUUAUACCAGUAGCCACCAGAAGCAGAAGAGCGACGAAGACAGCCGAAAACAUACGCAUGAAACUCUCCAUUAUCUUCUUGUUCUUAAUAGCUCUUAACUGUGUAUAGGUGUGUUGAGGAUGAGAUGAGAUUACAAUGCAAGCUUACUAGCCUUUAUAUAGAAGCUGUCCACUAAUUAAGCUAGCUGAGUCAUCCGAAAGAUCGAGAAAGCCAUAAUGGUAAAAAGGAGGGAGGAGCUGGGGACGAGUCAUGAAUGGCGAGUAGGGUAUGGUCUGCACUAACAUCACUGCUUUUUCUGCUUUUUUUGAUUCUAGCGAACCACACGUUUGUGAAUUGUGUCAAUUCAAGCUCCAUUGAGUUGGCAAACCUGCAAUGAAUUACUGAAUACUGACUCAUUCUGCAAAGUUAGCUCAAUCAUGCAUGAAUGGGUAACAUGGUCUUCUCAAACUAGCUAGGGAUAUCACCGUCAACCAAUGUUGUACAUAUGUGAAGGAUAGAAUUCCAGAUAACAAUAGUUUAUGGUAAAGAAAGUCAUGAACUCAUGAUACACGUAGCUAAUGAUAAUGAAAUAUGUUUAGAAACCUAAAGGUGUACUCAACUACAUAAUAAGAACAGGGUAGAGGCUGCUUAUAGCAUUACAGAAUCAUAGGUGGUGCAGAAAAUGGAAAAGGAAUUUAGCCCAACAAUGGAAAUCUACCUUUUAGAAAAGAAAGAUAACACAGAUAUUGAAAGUGAGGAUCAUGAAUUUGACUUGUGUCUACCGACAUUGAAGAUUUUAACCUUACACGUACAGUAGCCAUAGUCACCCUAUUUCUUUCUGAAAGCAAAGCAUCUUAGCCAAAUACAACUUUCCUAUUUUUCUCUUUUCUUUGUUACAAAAUUUCUACCAUUCUAAUGGAUAUAAUAUACUGUUUAUUAUCAGCAAAGAACUGAUGGAAAACUGAGAAGUAAGAACCAACCCAAAAUUAAUCUUGACAACAAGACUACAAGAGAAGAAAUAGAACAAUUAAAUUUCUGAUAUAUAAUAGCUAGUAUGCUUCUACAUCAGAGAAAACCAAACAUAUGAAGAGAAAUAUAAUUUUCUUGAUUGAAGUAGAUGAUUGAUGACAAAGGAGAAUACAUGUUUAAACUACUACAGUACUACAAUCAGAGAUGCUAGCUAGCUAGACUAGGAUUUUGUCUUCAUCUAUUUGCUCUAGGUUUGUCUUGGCUUGUAGCAUAAGGAUGGACCUUGUGAGCAGAGCACGGUGGCAUUUGCAUGCAUACUAUUGUGUUUCAGAUAUGGACUGCUAUUUUUUUUUUUUUUUCCGAUUAAUGGUAUGCUGCUGGUGUAUUGCAAUCCUAUAUGCUUAUCAGUAAUAUAUAUAGUCGAAAAAGAUUCUAUAUAAAACAUGCAUACAAGGUAAACUAAAGGCUUAUUUGGUACAUUUUUCCCUAUCAGCUUGGGUUCCCCCAAACUUCUUCCUUAGAGAUUCUACUUCUUCAUCUUUCAACGUCGUAAAUAAUGUUUUGGGUUCCCCAAUCUUGUGACCAUCAGCUACAAUCUCCCAAGGCCGUUUUGAUUUAUUGACAUCACAAAGGGAUUUGAUUGACUCAUGAGGCAAGUUCAGCUGCUCAAGUACCCUAGCAGAAAUGGAAGGCAUGUACGGUUCCAAUAAGAAAUCAAGAAGAUGCACUAACCCUACUGAAGUUUUGAUGACAAUAGAGCACCGAGGCCGGUCCUCCUUGUAGAGCUUCCAGAACUGGGAUCCUUGGAGAUAUGCAUUCCCCUCGCUAGAAAUACUCAUUGCUAAUUUAAGCCCUUGCUUUAGUUUGAGCUUCUCCAUUGCUUCCAUGUAUUGCUCUACAUGUCUGCCGACUUUUUCUGCUAACUCAACUGUCAAAGCAUCAGAGUCUGCACCUGCAGCCUCAGGAAUUAUGCCACCAUAUCCUCCUGAAGGUUUAGCAAUGAAACUCAAAACUCUGUUGAUGAAGUCGCCUAAAUUACCAACCAACUCACUUUUGAGUUUUGUUUGUAAAUCGGACCAAGCAAACUCAGUGUCGGAUCCCUCAGGCCUAUUAGUCAGCAAGUAAUAGAGCCACACUUCAACUGGAAUGCCUGUGAGUUUUGCAUCGUUUCCGAAAACUCCAAUGCCUCUACUCUUAGAAAACUUGCCUUUUUCAUAGUUUAAGUACUCAGUUACACUGAUAUUGUUCAUGAGUGUCCAAUUUUCUCCGGUUCCAAGAAGCGCUGAGGGGAACAUGAUUGUGUGAAAUGGCACAUUGUCCUUCCCCAUGAACUGACACAAUUCGACAUUCUCGGGAUUCUUCCACCACUUCUCAUACUGAUCAGGAGUGUAGCACUUAGUAAUGGAGAUGUAUCCAAUAGGUGCAUCGAACCACACGUAAAAUACCUUGUCUCUGAAGCCAUCGUGUGGAACUGGAACACCCCACUUGAGAUCCCUUGUAAUGCAACGUUGUUUAAGCCCCUCGUUGAGCCAUGCUUUUGUGAUAUGAACCGCAUUCUGGCUCCAACACCCUUUCUCUGAUGCUACAUUGAUGUACUCUUUCAACCUAUCCUUGAGCAAAGGGAGGUCCAGAAACAAGUGACUUGUUUCGCAAAUCCGCGGAGCUUCCUUGCAAACCUUGCAUUUAGGAUCUUCUAAUUCGAUCGGAUUCAAGAGCUAUCCACACUUGUCACACUGGUCUCCUGGGGCAGAAUCAUAGUGACAUCUAGGACAUGUCCCCUCCACGAACCGGUCCGCUAAGAACCUGUUACACUUGUCACAAUGGAGCUGCUGGAUUGAGUUUUCGGCAAGGCAGUCAUUGUGCAACAGUUUCUUGAAAAUGUCUUGGCAGACCUCAGUUUGCUGUGGCGUGGAAGUUCGUCCGAAAUGGUCAAAGCUUAUGUUAAACCACUCAUACACCUCCCUAUGGAUUUUGUGGUACUUGUCACAUAUCUGUUGGGGGCUGCACUUCUCUUCCAAGGCUUUGGUCUCCGUAGCCGUGCCGUACUCGUCGGUACCGGAGAUAUAGAGGGUAUUGUAUCCCCGGAGACGGCAGUACCGAGCAAAGACAUCGGCGCGCUCAAGAUGCAGCCGAUGAUGUUGCCGAGGUGGGGGACGUUGUUAACAUAUGGCAAGGCACUGGUGAUGAGGACGUUUCGCUCUCCUGGUAUUGGGAGCUUGGGGACUUUCUGGUCCUGCUUGGUUAGAUUUUCCAUUGUCAACUUUUAUAGCCAUUAAGUUGACCAAUUUACCCUUAAUUUCUCUUUUUUUUUUAGUUUUUUUAUAUUUGUUUUCAUAUUCCAAAAAUAUUAGAAGAGGUUUUAGAAUUUGAUAAUUCGGGUUGAUCUUUGUAAACUUGAAGAAGAUUGAAGAGAAACAUCCAGAAGUUUAAUCUUUGUUGUUUAUGCUGACACUCAAUCUUUGUUGAUCUUUAUAAACUUGAAGAGAAACAUACAAAAGUUCAAUAUUUGUUGUUUAUGCUGACACUCAAGGAUCUUGUUGUUGCCGUUGACAAUGAAGGAUAAUUGAGAUGAAAAAUUGAUUAUUAACAAGGAGAAAGUGACGAUGAAUUUUUUUUCUACGUUCCUAAAAAUAUAAAAAAACCAAAAAAGAAAAUUGGAAUAUGAAAACAAAGAAAAGAAUUUAAGGGUAUAUUGGUCAUCUUUUUUUGGUUUGAGGGUAAAUUAGUCAUCUUAAUAGCUAUAUAUACUAAUCUUAGGUCGGGAUGGAAACAUGAAAUACCAAUCUAAUAUUUUUAAAACUUGGUAUACCAAAGUUUAUAAGGAGCAAAAGUUUGUAUAUCAUUCAGACGAAUUUCUCUUACAGAAAUGAUCUAUACACUAUAUUCUAGAUACAGAACGGUGGAGAUGUGAAAAUGUUAUCUAAAAGUGAGCGAAAUGAGAAGCACUACAUUUUAAUUUGAAAGUGGUAUCUCUCUCUGGAAGAAAACUGUAUAGAUCAAUAAAUCAUCAUACUAAAAACACAACAUCACCUUCAUAUUCGAAUAUUUGCCAAGUUUGGUUAAUCCGAUCCCUCGUAUAUAGGUGUAUGUACGUGCUUAAAGCUAGCUGGGUAUAGUCAUAACAGGUCACAAGUACAUACUGUGGUGAGUCACUUUCCCGAGUUUGCUCAAUCAUGGAAUGAGCAGCAGCAUGGGCUCCUCAGUCUCACACACAUGGGAUAUCUACAUUUUACAGGUACCUCUCUACUCACAUUUAUGAAGGAUCCAUAGAAUUCGAGAUGACAAUACUUUAAUAUCCAAGAAAGUGACAAGACUUGUACCUAGCCGAGAACAUGGUUAUAAACCUAAAUGUACUCAAACACCUAAUGAGAACAUGAUUAUGAACUUAAAGCAUUACAGAAUCGUAUGGGAAAGAGUUGGAAUUGUCGGCCGGAUUGUUUUCUCUGGUCUCCGGCAAAGACGAAGUGUUAUUGGGGAAGUUGAUUUGUGUUCUUAAUGGGUUUCAUAUUUGGAAUCAAGCCCGCGUAGGGAAAUCUAUCCUCCUUUGUUAUGGUGCUUGAUCAGGAUUUCUCUUACAAUUUUUUUACAGUGCAUCUGGUUAUGAUCUGAAAGCACAUAGAGCAUCAUUGCUGGUAAUUACUUCUUCAGAUUGCUAAAGGAAGGAUGCAUACUCAAAACGUCUGCUAAAAAGAAAGAACCAAAGUGCGGCAUUACAAUCCUACACAAAUCCAAGCUACAUAGAUCACCCAAACUUAAAACACAGCAAGUAGACACAAAAAUCAUUUAUUCUAAACACGUAGGUACGCUACAAUUAUAUGCAUCCUUCUUGCACUGCUAAUUACUCAUUAACAGUGUUUGGUGCAGAAGCAUCUGCGGCGAAGACCGCGGCAGUCGCCUCCGGUGAAGCCCUCAGUUUGGCAAACAGAUGCACAGUUGCUUUCUCUCAAGCAAGUUCCCUUGAACUUGUGGCUCAAAGUCUCACAAGUUCUUGCUUCUGCAACCAUUGCAUUUGGCCCCAUUCCUACAUACAUUUUAAACACACACAUUAGUAUUCAUACAUAAAGUUCAUUUACAUCUAGAGAUCAAAACAUACAGUGAGUAAAUAUCAGAAGAAUGUAGAUAUUGAUUAUACCAG